UACGGAGGGUGCUAGCGUUGUUCGGAAUCACUGGGCGUAAAGGGCGUGUAGGCGGUCUGUUAAGUCUGAUGUGAAAUCCCCUCGCUCAACGAGGGAACUGCGUCGGAUACUGGCAGACUCGAGUACCGGAGAGGAAGGUGGAAUUCCCGGUGUAGCGGUGAGAUGCGUAGAUAUCGGGAGGAACACCGGUGGCGAAGGCGGCCUUCUGGACGGAUACUGACGCUGAGACGCGAAAGCGUGGGGAGCAAACAGG
rnacentral:rRNA from 1 species